rnacentral:rRNA from 1 species
GCCUAACACAUGCAAGUCGAACGAGAAUCAAUGGAUUGAGACUUCGGUUGAUUGAAGUUGAGGAAAGUGGCGAACGGGUGAGUAACGCGUGAGAAACCUGCCUUUCAGUGGGGGACAACAGUUGGAAACGACUGCUAAUACCGCAUAAUGUUAUUUGGGGGCAUCCCUGAAUAACCAAAGAUUUAUUGCUGAAAGAUGGUCUCGCGUCUGAUUAGCUAGUUGGUGAGGUAACGGCUCACCAAGGCGACGAUCAGUAGCCGGUCUGAGAGGAUGAACGGCCACAUUGGGACUGAGAUACGGCCCAGACUCCUACGGGAGGCAGCAGUGGGGAAUAUUGGGCAAUGGGGGAAACCCUGACCCAGCAACGCCGCGCGAAGGAAGAAGGCCUUCGGGUUGUAAACUUCUUUUACCAGGGACGAACAAAUGACGGUACCUGGAGAAAAAGCAACGGCUAACUACGUGCCAGCAGCCGCGGUAAGAC